rnacentral:lncRNA from 1 species
AUGCAGACAAUUAAGUGUGUUGUUGUGGGUGAUGGUGCUGUUGGUAAAACAACACAACAAAUUUCCAUCAGAAUAUGUACCAACUGUUUUUGACAACUAUGCAAUAACAAUUAUGACUGGUAGAGAACCAUAUACUCUUGGACUUUUUGAUACUGCAGAGCAAGAGGAUUAUGAGGGAUUAUGACUGCUGAGUUAUCCACAAACAGAUGUAUUUCUAGUCUAUUUUUCAGUGGUCUCUCCAUCUCUCCAUUUUCAUUUGAAAAUGUGAAAGAAAAGUGGGUGCCACUGUCCAAAGACUCCUUUGUUGCUUGUUGGGACCCAAAUUGAUCUCAAAGAUGACCCCUCUACUAUUGAGAAACUUGCCAAGAACAAACAGAAGCCUAUCACUCCAGAGACUGCUGAAUAAGCUGGCCCAUGACCUGAAGACUGUCAAGUACGUGGAGUGUUCUGCACUCACAAAGAAAGGCCUAAAGAAUGUAUUUGACGAAGCAAUAUUGGCUGCCCUGGAACCUCCAGAACCGAAGAAGAGCUGCAUAUGUGUGCUGCUA